GAUGAACGCUGGCGGCGUGCCUAACACAUGCAAGUCGAACGAAGCACCUUACCUGAUUCUUCGGAUGAAAGUUUGGUGACUGAGUGGCGGACGGGCGAGUAACGCGUGGGUAACCUGCCCUGUACAGGGGGAUAACAGCUGGAAACGGCUGCUAAUACCGCAUAAGCGCACGAGGAGACAUCUCCUUGUGUGAAAAACUCCGGUGGUACAGGAUGGGCCCGCGUCUGAUUAGCUGGUUGGCAGGGUAACGGCCUACCAAGGCAACGAUCAGUAGCCGGUCUGAGAGGAUGAACGGCCACAUUGGAACUGAGACACGGUCCAAACUCCUACGGGAGGCAGCAGUGGGGAAUAUUGCACAAUGGGGGAAACCCUGAUGCAGCAACGCCGCGUGAGUGAAGAAGUAUUUCGGUAUGUAAAGCUCUAUCAGCAGGGAAGAUAAUGACGGUACCUGACUAAGAAGCUCCGGCUAAAUACGU
rnacentral:rRNA from 1 species